rnacentral:rRNA from 1 species
AUACGGAGGGUGCAAGCGUUAAUCGGAAUUACUGGGCGUAAAGAGUACGUAGGCGGCCUACUAAGUCAGAUGUGAAAGCCCAGGGCUCAACCUUGGAACUGCAUUUGAAACUGGUAGGCUAGAGGAUGGUAGAGGGGGGUAGAAUUUCUGGUGUAGCGGUGAAAUGCGUAGAUAUCAGAAGGAAUACCAGUGGCGAAGGCGGCCCCCUGGCCCAAUACUGACGCUGAGGUACGAAAGCGUGGGUAGCGAACGGGAUUAGAUACCCCAGUAGUCC